UACGGGGGAGCAAGCGUUGUUCGGAUUUACUGGGCGUAAAGGGCGCGUAGGCGGCCACCGCAAGUCGGUUGUGAAAUCUCCGGGCUUAACCCGGAAAGGUCAAUCGAUACUGCGGGGCUAGAGUGCAGAAGGGGCAACUGGAAUUCUUGGUGUAGCGGUGAAAUGCGUAGAUAUCAAGAGGAACACCUGCGGCGAAGGCGGGUUGCUGGGCUGACACUGACGCUGAAGCGCGAAAGCUAGGGGAGCGAACGGG
rnacentral:rRNA from 1 species